ACGAACGCUGGCGGCGUGCUUAACACAUGCAAGUCGAACGGAAAGGCCCUGCUUUUGUGGGGUGCUCGCGUGGCGAACGGGUGGGUAACACGUGAGUAACCUGCCCUUGACUUUGGGAUAACUUCAGGAAACUGGGGCUAAUACCGGAUAGGAGCUCCUGCUGCAUGGUGGGGGUUGGAAAGUUUCGGCGGUUGGGGAUGGACUCGCGGCUUAUCAGCUUGUUAGUGGGGUAGUGGCUUACCAAGGCUUUGACGGGUAGCCGGCCUGAGAGGGUGACCGGCCACAUUGGGACUGAGAUACGGCCCAGACUCCUACGGGAGGCAGCAGUGGGGAAUAUUGCACAAUGGGCGGAAGCCUGAUGCAGCAACGCCGCGUGCGGGAUGACGGCCUUCGGGUUGUAAACCGCUUUCGCCUGUGACGAAGCGUGAGUGACGGUAAUGGGUAAAGAAGCACCGGCUAACUACGUG
rnacentral:rRNA from 1 species